AUGACCGGACCGAACACAACAAAGCCCAUCCGAUUCCGAUCCAUCCAAAAGCAAAUAUAUCAGGGGAAGAAGAGGAGAGGAGUGCAGAGCGCAGCCAUUCCGUCCGUCCGGGGGUUCGCCCAAGACAAGAACCCACCAGUUCCGACCCUUCUCCCCCUCCUCCCUCCCUCCCUCCCUCCCUCCCUGGCCCAUCCAAUCCGGGUCCCGCCCAGAUACGCCGCGAUUCCGAGCGUCUCCGCCGUGGAAUCCGCCGGAGAAUUCCUUCAUUGCUCGCCGCUUCCUCCUCCUCCUCCUCCUGGGUUCUUGCGCGGUGGGAGUCCGGGGAGUGGGAGGAGAGCCCGCCGUGCUCCCCGCGUCUCCGGCCCAUGCUCGCAGCUCGGCGGGCCGCCGGUUCCUGUCUGCCGCGGUUCGGUGCCAGGAAGAAUCUCUGAGGCCGAGGUUGGAACAGCAAUGGGGGCAAAGGUGGAGGUUGAAGGCUACAAUCCUGGGCAUUGCGCCAUGGGGGAUCUCCACGCAAGCGCGAAUGGCUGGAGGUUUCCAUACGAGGAGGAGACAUCAAAUGGCUUCGUGACGGCGGAGGCGGUCGGUUAUUCGGAGUAUGAUAAAGAGAUGUUCAGGCGCACAAUGCUGGCGCAUGAAGCUGUGUUUAGACAGCAGGUGUACGAAUUGCAUCGGGUUUACAGAGUACAGAGAGACCUGAUGAAGCAGCAUCAGAGCAGAGAAAUGCAUGCAUGCUCAACACUGGAAGAUGCAUCGCACAGAGAUUCACCGUCACAAAUUCCACUGCAUGGUGCAAACAUGAUUGGUGCUGCUGCUGUGAACAAUGAGAAAAGCCAGUCGUCCAAGUUCCCCAGGGAGGGCAGUGUCCAGUCCUCGCCAAAUGGAUUUCCCUCAAGUGAUGCUGCUCUACCCACCAAACAAGGCAGGUUUGACCUUGAGCUCCGAGCUGAUCAUUGUUUUGAAGAUGACCAUGCAUCGGACAGUAAGCCUAUAGAUUUCCUUGGUGUAUCAUCGGAUACAAAACAUCCGAAUGAUGCCGGUGUCGCAUUAGCUAGGGCGGAAGGCUUGGGGAGGUUCGGUCAUAAUAGUGCAACCUCCUUUCCGCCGAGUACAGGUAAUCUUGUAGGCCACAAUCACAAUGUUGCUGACCUGAAUAAGCCAACUCUGGGCCCAUAUAUGGCCAGAACAAAUGGGACAGUAUCGGGAGGUCCUUCAUAUGCCCUGGAGAACUCUUGGCAGCAGUCUCCAUGGAGAUCAAGCACAACUAACUGCAGUUUCAAUAAAGAAUAUUCCAAGGACAAGCGUAUUCAUGAAGCCACAAGCUCUAAUUUCUUUGAUGCAAGUUCCAGGAUAAAACAGGAGGAGAAACCACUGAUCGACAAAGGGAAACGUGCCAGCAGCACAGGUUUUCUUGCACCCAGAUGCAGUGGCAUGGAUCCACAAAAAAUGUUCAGUGCUGCUGACAGGGGAUCUGCAAGCAGUAACAAGUUUAUUUACCAAUGUCCGAAUAGUUCACCCGGAUGGUUUUCAGGAAGUCCUUUGGAAGCCUAUGCUAUCAAUAAUCUUCCUGGACAUGACCAUCUACGCUAUACAAGUAGCACACUUGUUGCUCCAGUCACUUCUCUGCACAUGGACCAACCUUCUGCCGCCUCUCGUGUUGGUUCUUGCAUAGUAGACCCAAGGAGCUAUAACAUCAGUGCUGAUGUCCAGUCAUUUCCAAGUUUCAAUGGAUCUUCAACUGUCAAUUCAUAUGCAUGCUUCACUGCUGCGAACCAAAGCAUUGGAACCUCAUCAUGUAAUCUGAAAAAAAUCAAUAACUCAGAUGGCAGCUAUUCUGACGUUCCACUUGAUUCAUUGUCUGCAUCACAACCACGGCAUCAGACAAGAAUUCCAAGUGACUUGGAGCAAAACAACAAGCUGAUGUUUGGACACCCAACACGGCACUGUCAUGAAGAUCCUGAUUUUGCAAAUGGCAAGGGCAGAAAGAACUUUAAUUUGAAUGAAGCAUUGUCUGAUGGUCAAGAAGAUAUCGUUGUAGAGCAAGAAGGGGUGUGUGUAGGUGGUUUACAGCAUAUCAAAGUUGAGGGAUCAGUAUCUGGGAUUUCUUGGCUCAGUAAGAAAGCUUCAUGUGCUGAUUCCACAGGUUUGGAGGAGCCAAGGAAGGUGUCUGAACAUUCUUAUGGGACUGCAGCGCUGAUUAACAUUAAUGAAGAUAUAACGGGAGCAGCUCUCGCUCUAUGCAAUUUGCCAGAUUCUGCUUCGACGUCUGUAGGUUGUGGAACUAAGAAGGAUGGGUCUUGUGACAAGAUCGGCGCUAGAACUCAAGAGAGUGCUGCAUGUUUACCCCUUUCAUGCCAGAAACCCAUGCCUAGAGAUGGGCAAGCUGCUGAGGGUGUCACCAAUAAGAGUGGUGCUGCCGUCUGGAAUUUUAUUGAUCUGAAUGAAGAUGCACCAAAUGAAGAUAACUCAGAGUCAUCUGUAGUGUCAAGUGAUUGCCAUGUGACAUCCUUACAGAACAACCAUGCAAAGCCUAAGUUUCUGAUUGAUUUAGAAGUGCCAGCUUGCGAAGAUGAUGAUGCUGCUACAGCUGCAGCAGAGAGCAUUCUUGCGUUGUCGAGGGAUGUGCCAGCCACUGCAGAGACACCUGAUGAUAUGUUGCAGUGGUUUGCAGAGAUCGCCAUAUCAAGCACCGACUACCAUGCCGGGCAAGGGGAGGUCCAAGGCUGUGCCAAUAAUUCCAGUGAUGAUGAUCCAGAUUCAUUCGAAUCGCUGACACUGAAGCUUGAAGACAUCAAGACUGAUGAGUUGUGCAGCAGGCCACCGGCGCCCGCGAUAACAACAAGUGAUGAGCAUACUGUCUCACCGGUGAACCUCCUGAUGAAGCCGAAGAGAGGCCAGCAAAGGAAGCGUCGGCAGAAGCGUGACUUCCAGAAAGACAUCCUGCCUAGCAUCUCGUCGCUGUGCCGGCCUGAGAUCAUCGAAGACAUUCAGCUCCUGGAGGGGCUGGUUCAGACGACUGGUGGAUCCUGGGAGUCGAGCUUAACUAGGCGAAGGCGUACGAGGGGUAACAAGAAACCCAAGAAAAGGGUGCUGGACGCCGUAGAAGAGGAGGUCCAGGUCAGCGUAGAAGAAGAAGAGGUCCAGGUGAGCCCGCCCGCGAAACCUGACGCCGCGGGCAUAGAAGGUGAAAGCAACAUUGGCAUGAUCGGGUGGGGAAGAACGACGAGGCGGUGUUGCAGGACGAGAUGCCCGUCGGGUAUCACCAUCGCCGCCGCAUCCUGA
rnacentral:rRNA from 1 species